AGAGUUUGAUCCUGGCUCAGGACGAACGCUGGCGGCGUGCCUAACACAUGCAAGUCGAGCGGGGAACGGAUGGUAGCUUGCUACUGUUUGUUUCUAGCGGCGGACGGGUGAGUAACGCGUGAGCAACCUGCCUUUAUCAGGGGGAUAACGCAUCGAAAGAUGUGCUAAUACCGCGUAAGACCACAGCUUCACAUGGAGCGGGGGUCAAAGGAGCAAUCCGGAUAAAGAUGGGCUCGCGUCCGAUUAGCUAGUUGGUGAGAUAACAGCCCACCAAGGCGACGAUCGGUAGCCGACCUGAGAGGGUGAUCGGCCACAUUGGAACUGAGAGACGGUCCAGACUCCUACGGGAGGCAGCAGUGGGGAAUAUUGGGCAAUGGGCGAAAGCCUGACCCAGCAACGCCGCGUGAGGGAAGAAGGGUUUCGGCUCGUAAACCUCUGUCCUAUGGGACGAAGGAAGUGACGGUACCAUAGGAGGAAGCCCCGGCUAACUACGUGCCAGCAGCCGCGGUAAUACGUAGGGGGCGAGCGUUGUCCGGAAUGAUUGGGCGUAAAGGGCGCGUAGGCGGCCUGCUAAGUCUGGAGUGAAAGUCCUGCUUUCAAGGUGGGAAUUGCUUUGGAUACUGGUGGGCUGGAGUGCAGGAGAGGAAAGCGGAAUUACCGGUGUAGCGGUGAAAUGCGUAGAGAUCGGUAGGAACACCAGUGGCGAAGGCGGCUUUCUGGACUGUAACUGACGCUGAGGCACGAAAGCGUGGGGAGCAAACAGGAUUAGAUACCCUGGUAGUCCACGCGGUAAACGAUGAAUGCUAGGUGUAGGAGGUAUCGACCCCUUCUGUGCCGCAGUAAACACAAUAAGCAUUCCGCCUGGGGAGUACGGCCGCAAGGUUGAAACUCAAAGGA
rnacentral:rRNA from 1 species